rnacentral:rRNA from 1 species
AGUGAGGAAUAUUGCGCAAUGGAGGAAACUCUGACGCAGCCAUGUCGCGUGCAGGAUGACGGCCCUACGGGUUGUAAACUGCUUUUCUGUGGGAAGAAACUUCCGAACGUGUUCGGAACUGACGGUACCACAGGAAUAAGCAUCGGCUAACUCCGUGCCAGCAGCCGCGGUAAUACGGAGGAUGCAAGCGUUAUCCGGAUUUAUUAGGUUUAAAGGGUGCGUAGGCGGGUUAAUAAGUCAGUGGUGAAAUCCUACAGCUUAACUGUAGAACUGCCAUUGAAACUGUUAGUCUUGAGUAUAGUUGAGGUGGGCGGAACGUGUUAUGUAGCGGUGAAAUGCUUAGAUAUGACACAGAACACCAAUUGCGAAGGCAGCUCACUAAACUAUUACUGACGCUGAGGCACGAAAGCGUGGGGAGCGAACAGGAUUAGAUACCCUGGUAGUCCACGCCGUAAACGAUGAUCACUCGUUGUUCGCAAUAUAUCGUGAGCGACUUAGCGAAAGCAUUAAGUGAUCCACCUGGGGAGUACGUUCGCAAGAAUGAAACUCAAAGGAAUUGACGGGGGCCCGCACAAGCGGAGGAACAUGUGGUUUAAUUCGAUGAUACGCGAGGAACCUUACCUGGGCUUAAAUGUAGAUCGACGUACCGGGAAACUGGUAUUCCCUUCGGGGCGAACUACAAGGUGCUGCAUGGUUGUCGUCAGCUCGUGCCGUGAGGUGUCGGGUUAAGUCCCAUAACGAGCGCAACCCCUAUCGUUAGUUGCCAGCGGAUAAUGCCGGGGACUCUAACGAGACUGCCAUCGUAAGAUGCGAGGAAGGUGGGGAUGACGUCAAAUCAGCACGGCCCUUAUGUCCAGGGCUACACACGUGUUACAAUGGUCGGUACAAAGGGCAGCUACCUGGUGACAGGAUGCUAAUCUCUAAAACCGGUCUCAGUUCGGAUCGAAGUCUGCAAUUCGACUUCGUGAAGUUGGAUUCGCUAGUAAUCGUAUAUCAGCAAUGGUACGGUGAAUACGUUCCCGGGCCUUGUACACACCGCCCGUCAAGCCAUGGAAGCUGGGGGUACCUGAAGUUCGUAACCGUAAGGAGCGACCUAAGGUAAAACCAGUAACUAGGGCU